UACGUAGGGAGCAAGCGUUGUUCGGAUUUACUGGGCGUAACGGGCGCGUAGGCGGCGCGGUAAGUCACUUGUGAAAUCUCUGAGCUUAACUCAGAACGGCCAAGUGAUACUGCAGUGCUAGAGUGCAGAAGGGGCAAUCGGAAUUCUUGGUGUAGCGGUGAAAUGCGUAGAUAUCUGGAGGAACACCGGUGGCGAAGGCGGCGUUCUGGACUGCUACUGACACUGAGGAACGAAAGCCAGGGGAGCAAACGGG
rnacentral:rRNA from 1 species